rnacentral:rRNA from 1 species
UAGGUUUCUGCUAAGUCGCAAGACGAUGUAUAGGAGCUGACGCCUGCCCGGUGCUGGAAGGUUAAGGGGAUCUGUUAGAGCAAUCGAAGCAGUGAACUUAAGCCCCAGUAAACGGCGGCCGUAACUAUAACGGUCCUAAGGUAGCGAAAUUCCUUGUCGGGUAAGUUCCGACCCGCACGAAAGGCGUAACGAUUUGGGCACUGUCUCAACAACAGACUCGGUGAAAUUGUAAUUCCGGUGAAGAUGCCGGAUACCUGCGACAGGACGGAAAGACCCCAUGGAGCUUUACUGUAGCUUGACAUUGGGUCUUGGUACUACAUGUACAGGAUAGGUGGGAGGCUUUGAAACCAGGACGCCAGUUUUGGCGGAGCCAUCCUUGGGAUACCACCCUUGUAGUACUGGGACUCUAACCAUAGGCCAUGAAUCUGGUCUUGGGACACUGUCAGGUGGGCAGUUUGACUGGGGCGGUCGCCUCCCAAAAGGUAACGGAGGCGCUCAAAGGUUCUCUCAGUACGGUCGGAAAUCGUACGUAGAG